UUUCGAACCAAGGUUGUGGCUGCUUCAGCAUCAAGUGUUGAGAAGAAGAGGUAUCAGGAAUCCUAUACAGUGACCUGCUGGAGCUAAACCUGGACCUGGAAGCAAGCAGCAAGAACUCCCUGGGUAAUGAGGACAAUAAGAGCAGCACACAGCAUCUCCUCCACUGCCUCUCAUUCUGCUCCAAAAGCCAUGGCAGCUCCCACUCAAGCAGGCAUCAAGCCUAACUCCCAGCAUGGAUAAUGUGAGAAGUCUGUGAUUGAACCCACAGGGACCUCAAGGUUCUGUGGGAGGACAUCUAGUGAUUCCUGGAGCACCUGCAGCAGCCAGGAAACAUGGAACUAGAGUGGAGCAGCCACCCAGAGACCUUCACAGAACUGUGGGUCAUGCUAAUCAGAAUAAGGGGCCAGAGGUCACAUCCCAGGU